GAGGCACUUUGACAUCCAGAGCGCCGUGCUGCUCUCUGCAUCCUGACACCUCUUUCCUGCCGCUGCUGUGGACCAGCAGCCCAUCUCCCAGAGUACUAGCGGUUAUCGCCAUCAGGGCCCUGGGUUCACCAGCAGGUUCCAGUUGUCCUGACCAGCCUGUAACCCUCAUGUCUACCCAAGACAUGUUGGUUAUUCAUCAGCAAUCACCCCGUUCUUGAGGACGGUGCAGGAGGACGUGGUUGCAGAGGAGGAGAGCUACAGGCUGACUGGAGCCUGCUGGCACACGCGGACCUCAACGAUGGGAUGGAGCCUUUGGAGUUAAUCCAGAUCAUGUAGAAUGCUGAGCAAAGGUGUCCUGUUGACUUCAAUGGAAUUUGAGGCAGGUUUAAAGGCAGUAAACGGCUGUGCUGGUUCGUUUAGCCCUUUUAAAGAACACAUGAUCACUCUCGCUACUCAUCUCUUUGUUAGCUUUCACGGCCAGCAUUUUUGUGGGAGGAGGCCUUGUUUUUGUCUUUUCUGCAAACAGGAGAGCAAUCUAAAUGCAAAUUCUAUACCUGAAUAAAAUCCAAGAAGCAGGUACAAAUGAGGCUUGAGGGGAAAAAUCAGUGGUGAUGACACUUGGGACGGAAAAUGGAUGGCUAGAGACUGACUUCACUAUCUCCUCGCUUGCUGCUCUGUAUAGUUGGCUGGAUAUUGAAAAAUGAGAAGGAUAUGUGCUUCUUAAGGUUUAACUGCAUAUGUUUGCUCAGCUUGUCUGGAGUUCAGAUACUUCUCUGCUAUUGAAGAAAAUGCAGCUUCAAGAUGUACAAAUCGGUCCCGGAUGAUGCUCAAACUGCUAUUAGUUGUUUUUGGAGCAUUGUUUCUCGUGCAGUGACGUCAAGUAUCAAAUCCUUGUUUGUGAACUAGAUUCUGUUUCUUUUAACUUGCAAUUUUUAUUGCUUGUCAGAAUGCUCUUUCAUGCAGUUGUAAGAGUAAGAAGUCAAUUCAUAGUAUGAUCUUAAAUUCAGUUUCAGCUCUUUCACAAGCUGGCUUUAUCCUUUAAUACUUUACUUUGAAGGCCUUUAGGCCUUAGAAUGUAUCAUAAUUGAUAUAAAUUGUAUUUAGACUACAUUAAUUCAAUUUCCUAUGGUGGUGAAAACUUCAGAUGUACUCCUUUGUGAUUUCAGUGAAACCCUCUUACUGUUUUUAUUGCCCAGAUGACAGGAUAUUUAGUAAACCAUGUACUGAUUUUUUUUGCAAAUAGUUUAUUGAGAUUUUCUGGAAUUUUGGAUGCCAGUGAUUUGAAGUCUUAGUUCAUUAUUGUCAUCUCCUAAUUACAAGUGCACAGUUCACAUACUAAAUUUACCAAGGCUAAGCCUCAGAAUUAAUUUCCUGGGAAAAUUUCUGUAAAGCACUAUAAAACUUCAACUUUAUAAUUGUUCUGCUGCUGUUCAGCAUUGCACAUUCAUGUUCAUGUAUUUUUAAUAUGUUUGCUAAUGUCUUUCUUAUAUGGUGUCUGAACAGCUACUAGCUGCUGCUUAUUUUGAUUGUGUAUAAAUUUAAUGAAGUAAUUGUGAUCUCGAGCUUCUAUCUCCCUUUGGCUCUCUUCGUAAAUGUUUUUUCAAGCAGAGAAGUGACCAGCAGGAAUUCAGUGAGCUGGCUCUCAUUUGAUAAUUAUAUUCCAUGGGUUUUUUUGCUCUUCAUUGUUCAUACUUAGGUGGCUGAAAUUUAAAUUGCCCUUCUUUUAGCUGUCUUUAAAACUGUACACAUAAUGUGUUUUAUGGUCUGAACAUGGUUUGGACAACUUCAGCUUCAUCUCACCAGUACAGCUAUUUAUUCAGAAUGACAGAGGCCAUUCUCCAGAGAUUUUUGUCCCUCUACAUUACAGGACAUUCUUCCUUAAACCACAGCCAGAGAACAAAAUAACAAAAAGACUUUAUUUUUCUGAUCUUGCGCUAUUUAUGAAGCUGCCAUCUAUCCAUCAAAGUCAUUAACCUUGUUAUUGACUGCCUGAAGAAAAUUAUGUUAUGAAACCCCAAUCUUUACAUCCAGAAUGGAAUUAGUUACUUUAGGAUUCAUCUUAGAUCAAGUGUGAUUGUUGUGGCUAGGUGGUGGUGGUCAGUUUAUUGAUAGAUAAGCCAAACCAUUUUCAAGGCAUCAGUGUUGAUCCUGAGAUUCCACUAUAAUAUGAGGAAUGCAACAUGUCUCGUUGGAGAGAUAAAUGUUACAGAAAAUAGAAAUUUGGUGUGAUUGAUUGUUAAUUCAUAAAUUAUUUCUAAGUGAGAUACUCACUCGUCAUUAACCCGUGGAGCAUUGCAUCGUGUCUUUUGAAAGACUUAGAGUACCCUUUACAAACUUUCCAGGAUUGGAAAUGAUCCUGCAUUAAAACUUUCACUUAUACUAUAAAUUUUUUUACCAGAUUUAAAGUUCUAGAGAUACCGUAAAUUGUAAAUACUGCUGUGUAUGUUGUUGCAUAUUUGUAUUUCAGCUAGAAUUACCUAUUUCAUUCAUGUGUUAAAGAAUAAAAUUCAACUUUUUUGAGUCUACUUUAGGUGAGUUUUAGACUUGCAACUCAAAGAGGUAAAUCAUGUUAACUUUAUCUGCUAGAUCAUUACAUGGAAAUGUUUAAACCCCUCCCCCAAAUAAAACCCACCCUCUAUAAAGACAGAUUUGGAUAUUUUUGUUUAAAUGGAUUCCCCUCCUGUCACGGUGUUAUUACUGUGAUUUAAAAGUACACUGGAAUGUAUAUAAUAAACAUUAUGAUGUGUGUGGGUGUAACUUCAUAUACUUCGUUAGCUUAAUGAACUUGCCAUCACUGAUGAGCCCUCCGUAAGAGGUAACUCAAGAUUUUUGUGCAUUAAAGAACUUGUUGACUGCACAC